GACGACAUAGCCAAGUGGUAAGGCAGAGGACUACAAAUCCUCCGUCCCCAGUUCGAAUCCGGGUGUUGCCU
rnacentral:tRNA from 1 species